UACAAAAGCAGAGGUAAAAUCGAAAACAAGUUCAAGUUCAUCAAAAACAAGUACAAGUUCAUCAAAAACAAGUACAACCACAAAAGCUAAAGUUAGGGAAAAGAAGGUUUAUACUUUGCCUGGCCAGAAACAUGAUCCUCCCGAAGAGUUUGUCUUCAUAUAAUCUCAAAAUUUCUUCAUUUUGUCUACAAACAUGUCUCUUGUGAUUGAUUUUACUUGAUGUUUCCUUUCUUUUUUCGGAUAGAGGGAGCCGUUACGAAUAUUUUACGAGUCGUUGUCGAAACAGAUACCAAAAAGUGAAAUGGCAGAAUUUUGCAUCUAUUUGAUGUUUUGCAAGCUGCUCAGUUCGACCUUAGGGCAUCUUCGGUGGAAGUUCCUUUCUUUUUAUGUGAUGCUUCACUGUUUUUUGGCCAUUAUGACAAUUACUGCCUAAUGUGGUUUCAUCGGUUUGAUCCGAACGAAGACAACUAUCUGCAGAAAGUGAACUUCACAUCUCUUUUAAGUGCAUAAUUUUGUAUUUGCUACCAUGUUAAGGGUUUCCACUAUGUUCCUGAUAUAUAUGUGCUUAACCAAUGUUUUCUCAAUGGUAUUGGAUGUCAAUGUUCUGAAAAUGGUCAUAUUUUGUUUGAAAGGUCCAAUCUGUGCUUUGCUAAAAUUGCUUUUGGUGGUAUACGAUGAAUUCCCAAGGAAGGAAAACAUUGCAUUGCUUUGGGGACUACAGAGCUUCUGGGCUCCAACCAUUUUGAUUUAUAACAAAAUUGGGGCAUCAUGAAAGUACUUGCCAUAGCAAGGGUUUCUGGCUUGUUGGUAUCCAAACAAAGAUGUGUAAUUUAAGCUUAAUUGAUAAACUGUAUUGGUGCGAUCGUUGGCUCUUUAAACGCUUUCGCAUUUGUUGUCUGGUUGUGAAGAUUAUGGAAUGACAUGGUUCAAUUGCAGGAUGAUGGAACAUGGCUUGUUGUCCCCCGAAAAAGACAGAAAAGCAUAUGAAAAGAAGCAGAGAAGGCAGAAGCAGCUUCGGACCGGCACUCCGAUUAAAUCUUGGAAACCGAGUGGCAAACCCGAGAGUUCACAGAAGCAGCAGCUGGCCUCGAGGAAUGGAGAUGUAAAAGCCAAGAAAAGAAUCAACAAUGAUAUCGAUGAUGAUGAUGAUGACGACGACGACGACGACUUCAUUUUAAGUCCCAAGAGAAGGAAAGGGUAAGAUAAAAGCUCCCCAACGUCUGUACUGUAGUAAUUUUAGGAAUGCUUUCAUUUAAUUUCCUAUUACAAGUAACAGCAAAAAAGCUGGUGUUGUGAAAAGAAAAAGCACAAAAAAUAAUUAAGUUAUUCUUUAUGUUUUCUAAGUUAUGGAUAAUAAGAAAAUUUCAUGACCA